rnacentral:rRNA from 1 species
AUCAACUUUCGAUGGUAGGAUAGAGGCCUACCAUGGUGGUAACGGGUAACGGGGUGUUAGGGCACGACACCGGAGAGGGAGCCUGAGAAACGGCUACCACAUCCAAGGAUGGCAGCAGGCGCGCAAAUUACCCAAUCCCGACACGGGGAGGUAGUGACAAUAAAUAACAAUACAGGGUUCUUUUGGAUCUUGUAAUUGGAAUGAGUACAAUUUAAAUCUCUUAACGAGGAACAAUUGGAGGGCAAGUCUGGUGCCAGCAGCCGCGGUAAUUCCAGCUCCAAUAGCGUAUAUUAAAGUUGUUGCAGUUAAAAAGCUCGUAGUUGAAUUUCGGGAUCAAUAUGUUGGUCGUGCCUUGGUACGUACUAAUUUAUUGGUUUCUUCCUUCUGACGAACCAUGAUGUCAUUAAUUUGGUGUCUUGGGGAAUCAGGACUGUUACUUUGAAAAAAUUAGAGUGUUUAAAGCAGGCUCACGCUUGAAUACAUUAGCAUGGAAUAAUGAAAUAGGACGUUUGAUUCUAUUUUGUUGGUUUCUAGGAUUGACGUAAUGAUUAAUAGGGAUAGUUGGGGGCAUUAGUAUUCAAUUGUCAGAGGUGAAAUUCUUGGAUUUAUUGAAGACUAACUACUGCGAAAGCGUUUGCCAAGGAUGUUUUCAUUAAUCAAGAACGAAAGUUAGGGGAUCGAAGACGAUCAGAUACCGUCGUAGUCUUAACCAUAAACUAUGCCGACUAGGGAUCGGAUGAUGUUAAUUUUUUAAUGACUCAUUCGGCGCCUUACGGGAAACCAAAGUGUUUGGGUUC